rnacentral:rRNA from 1 species
AGUAACACGUGGAUAACCUACCUAUAAGACUGGGAUAACUUCGGGAAACCGGAGCUAAUACCGGAUGAUAUUUUGAACCGCAUGGUUCAAAAGUGAAAGACGGUCUUGCUGUCACUUAUAGAUGGAUCCGCGCUGCAUUAGCUAGUUGGUAAGGUAACGGCUUACCAAGGCAACGAUGCAUAGCCGACCUGAGAGGGUGAUCGGCCACACUGGGACUGAGACACGGCCCAG